CCCCAUAUUCUUCAGCAUUGCAAAAAAAAGCUUUGAAAAUCCUUCGCCUGUGAUUGCCGAAAUCCGGAACAAUUGUUCAGGGGCUAUGAACUGGUGCAACAGAUCUCGACAUCACUGCUGGGCAUUUCCUGGCGCAAGGGGUUAAACUUGUAUCGUGAACCUUUAAAUCUUCUCUUAUGUCUAGGAGCGUCCGAUGCAGGCUAUCGUUCUCUUGAUGAAUACCCUUACUCCUUUGGAUAUAUCCUAGGUGGUUCUGACAUUGCUCAAAACACGCAGUUAGUUGUCCGUCAAACAUGAGGCGCAGUCACGAUUAACUCACCAGUUAGUUAUUCCUGCAUAAACAAAUAGAGUUAUCUGAAACAGAAAGCGCAAGUUUGGCUCAGUUUCGCCACAUAUAGAUUUCACACCAGCCAGAGAUCGCAUGCUUGGAAAUAAAAUCAGCUAAAUGUUUGGGCUGCGGUGUCAAGUGAAGCCAAGUCCUCACCAGCCCUGCGCGCGGAAGUUGUUCUCCUGAUGGAUGCGCCAGAGGAGGACUGGGAGUGCCAGGAAUAUACGGUUGCACUGAGUGUUCUGGCGGGAU
rnacentral:sRNA from 1 species